rfam:Ictidomys tridecemlineatus contig043896, whole genome shotgun sequence.
UGGCAUAUAGCUCAGUUGGCAGAGUGCUUGCCUCACAAGCAUAAGGCCCUGGGUUUGAUCCCCAGCAUCACAC